GUCUACGGCCACACCCCCCGGACGCCUACGAGCUCAUCUGAUCUCGGAAGCUAAGCAGGUCGGGCCUGGUUUAGAACUUGGAUGGGAGACCAAAUGGCGACAGCGCUGGGCUUUCUUCC
rfam:Pan troglodytes isolate Yerkes chimp pedigree #C0471 (Clint) chromosome 12, whole genome shotgun sequence.